ensembl:ncRNA lncRNA:CR45649 long non-coding RNA:CR45649
CAAUUAAAUUUGCCCAUAACCCAAAUAUGGAUUAUCCUGAAUGGCGAACAACUUCGCACUUGAGUUCGUGGCGCUCCCAAAGAGUGGAGAUAUCCUUUCAUAGGAGCGAACAAAGCGAACGGGGAGAAAUCCACACGGCUGCCUUGCUGAAUGAAAAUAGAUGGUGAAAAGUCGAUGAGCAUGUGCAUGGAGAUGGAGCGGGUGCAGAUUGAAAGAGUGUUGACGGCAAACUAUUGAAGAACUAUUGAAAAGUAUUCAGGCGCGGGAAAGUCUCAGCUGGGGCAGUGGACUAAAUGGGCGCGGCACGAGUGGCCGGUGGGCGUGGCAGGCGGACAGAAGCAGGAGCAGCCUACACAGAAGCCAGCAAGAAUGUGUGGACAAAAACAAAAAUUCUUUCAAAAGCACUCAGCAGCCCAAAAAGCGUGGAUAUAUACAUAUACACAUGGAAACACAGACACACCCACACACCCACACAGCUUCAGUUAGUUGCACUGAAAAGAGGAUAAACUGCAUUUUUAUCU